CCAUGAUUAAGCUGCUUUGCAAACAGCAGAAAGAUACUUCUGGAAAAGAGGAGGCGUCAGUUUCUCUCCUGGAUUAUGGGAAUUUGUAAUGCGGACAACAUGAGGCAAGCAGUGGUGGGAUUCAAUUUUUUUACUACCGAUUCUGCAGACAAGGCACCAUAAUUUAACACCAGCUGUCUGCAAUUAAAGUAAGUUCGAAUCUCACCCGGCUCAAGGUUGACUCAGCCUUCCAUCCUUUCUAAGUUGGAAAUUUCACUGAAAAGUCCACUUACCAAAGAUGUACGACAUAGAAUUCAUGUUCCUUCCCUCUAGGAUUUUCUCAGAUAGCCGGUGGGCUGAUGCAGUUCAAUAUCACCAUCCUGGAAUGCAAAAAUGCAUCUUCUUCUGAGCCUGAUCAUCAGUGACAGUUGGGAAGAGCUGAACCUUUUCUGCAAUUAUUGGAAAAUUUGUUUUUUUAAAAAAAUGGGAAAGUUGGAGAUUUAAUAGUGAGGUAAGUAGAGAUUGGAAUCAAAAAUGCUUGUGAUUCUUACAUGAGUCAGUUGUGAAAAGCUGGAAAUUUGGGCAAAAAUGUUGAACUAUCAUGCUUUGAGAUCACAGCUCAAUAAAAUUGGUGUUUUCAACCUUCAAAGUCCACAGAAUCAUCAUAAAAAUAAAUAGCUAUGACAAA